GGGUCCGGCUGCAGCGUCAGCGCCCCUCCUCCCGACUGCGGGGAAAGCGGCUGAAAACUCCUCCCGAGGCGCGCAGGCCCCUUAUUCAGCCGAGUCCCUCUGCGCUCCUUCCUCCCUGAGCUAAAGUACCGGGGGGAGGGGACAGGGCAGGGGACUGGCGCAGGUAAUGGGGAACAUCAAAAGGUGAUUGUUAACUAAGGAAAACCAGCUCUCCCAAGGUGAGGAAUGUGGCGCUUUUCUUUGCAUGGGCUCACUGAAAUCCUUCCUUUGAUAUGCACCUCAGCUCUCUGGGGCCUGCAUUCUGUAUUUGCAUAUCCUGAGUGCCUCAGGGCCCGCCGGCUCACAUUGGAGGCCUGCAAGUGCUGAAGACUGUGACAUCCUUUGUUUACUGAUAUGGCAAGAAACAUUCCAUUUCCCACAGGCUUGAGGGGCAGACAGUGAAAAAAAGUCGGAGAAUCUCACUCGGCAUGUACUUUGGUUUACAUAUAGACAAUAUUUAUACUUAACUGUGCUAAUAGAGGUUCUCAAGUCCAAUCAACUUGUACUACUGCCCUCUAUGUAUCAAUUUCAUCCAUAUCAUAAGAUAAAUGCUUAUAGAAUUGACUUAAUCCAUUUAAAUAGGAUAAUGAUUUUUAAAGGAAACAUAACAGAAAUAUAACAACAAAACCUUUACCACUAAAGGCUGGGUCUGGAACAACCUAAAUAAAUGUUCCAUUGUUAAAAUAUUGAAAGAUGUAUUCAAUAGAAAUAUCAACAAAAAUGACAAAUAAUAAGGGUAGCAGAAUGUUGAAAUGUUCUAUCUUUAUCAUUAAAGUGGCAGAAAAUCAUUUAUUAGUAGGCACUGGGGGCAGAAGAUGCCUGAUUUUAUACCUUUGUCAUAUUUGUGCAGUUGUUUCAACAAGUAACUUAAAGACAAAAUGGAAAAACAAGGAGGUUUGUGCCUGAGAUCAUGUUGAUGUGAAACCAGGGAUGGCCACCUUGUGCCAGAUCACUCAUCCUGGGGUAAGCCAGCUGCCAUGUCAUGAGGACACUCAAGCAGCCCUAAGGAGAGAUCCAUGUGGCAAGGAACUGAGGCCUCUUACCUACAGCCACGUGAACAUUGUGAUGAUGGCUAUUCUGAGUGGUUCCAGGUGAUACUUCUUUGUACAUCUGAUUUGCAUUUGUCUAACAUAAAGCAAUGGUGAGUAUUUUCAUAUGUGCUCUUUUUUUUGAACAGUGUCAGUAAGAUUUAUCCCUUGAAAAAGGGUUAUUGAAAGGUUGCCUUGUUUUGAAGUCUACUUCGAUUACCUACCCCAAGACAUUUUUUGAGGGCUGUUGUCAUUUACAGCUCCCCAGGCAUUGUGAAUAUGAAGUGCGUAUAAGGUCCAGUUUUAGAAUUGUUGUUAUGGGAAACAGAAGGCGGCAGGAUUUCUCCUGUCCCUCUCUGGUUACUGACACAACCUUAGAUGUAGGGCAAGUCCUGUUCUUGGGUAUUAAAUUAGAGUGGAAUGUGCCUGACCAAACGUGGAAGGGCUUCUGUCCCAUUCCUUCUUCCCCCUUACAUUUCAUCCCCCGAACAAGUAUAAACGCCUGCAAAAUCACCUGUUGAGGGUGCUGUCUUGUAGAGUGGGAUGACCCUUAUGAAGGAGUCGGGAGGUCAGAACCCAAACACCAGGAUAUGUUGAGAGCAGGUGAUUUUCCAAAUGUCAUCCAGCCCAGAGAGUCCACCAUCCUUUGGGUGUCAGAGGGUUGGUUUAGUAGUAUGAGGGCACACUUAGAUCUGGAGAUAGUGAUCCCAUGCAGAGGGGACCAGGUACUGCAUGUUCAAGGGGGGCGAAUGAGCUGGCAUAUCCUCCCGAGGUCCUCAGGCCCACAACAGUCCAGCCUUGGGACCAAAUUGUGUCUGUGUCCAGGGAUGUGACACUAGUACGUUCACUGCGACUAAACAAAUUUAGUGAUCAUUUUUCUUUUCUUUAAUUUAAUUUUAAAUUUAUAAUGGAGUAUAUAGUUGAUUUAUCAUGUUGUGUUCAUUUUUGACAUACACCAACAUGA